AGAUCAUGUGCCUGCCCUUUUGACCUCCACAUUUUCACCACCUGUUUCCCUGUUGGAUUACCAAUAAAUAGCGUGGGCUCCCAGCGCUCAGGGCCUUCGCAGUCUCCACGAUCACGAUGGUCCUCUGGUGUCCCAUCUUUCUCUCUCAAACUGUCCUUUCCUCAAUCCUUUGACUCCGCCGGACUUUGUCACCCCCACAACCUGGUUUUGGGUCUGGCCACCCCAACAUUAAAGGCAUUUUCCCAACGCAAAUGGCAGCAUAAGCAUCUGAGAAUCUGAGCAGCCCUUGCAAGCACCUCACAGAAGCUGAAGAAACAAAAGUUGGAGUUCAGAACCUAUCAAUGUGGAGGCAUUCUAGCAAUGAACUCUAGAGUUAAGAUGGGUCUCCCAAACAAAUGAAAACAAACUGUGAAUAAAACAUUCCUUUCAGAAAAUAAAAGCAGUCACUGAAUGACCUCAAUCAUUGACCUUAGUAUGGACAUUUGCCUUUGUCUUAGCUAUGGCUGAAAAGC
rnacentral:lncRNA from 10 species